rnacentral:rRNA from 1 species
GUUUGACCUCGGAUCAGGUAAGGAUACCCGCUGAACUUAAGCAUAUCAAUAAGCGGAGGAAAAGAAACCAACAGGGAUUGCCUCAGUAACGGCGAGCGAAGCGGCAACAGCUCAAAUUUGAAAUCUGGCUCUUGCAGAGUCCGAGUUGUAAUUUGUAGAGGAUGCUUCGGAUGCGGUUCCGGCUUAAGUUCCUUGGAACAGGACGUCAUAGAGGGUGAGAAUCCCGUCUUGAGUCGAUAACCAACUCCAUGUGAAGCUCCUUCGACGAGUCGAGUUGUUUGGGAAUGCAGCUCAAAAUGGGUGGUAAAUUUCAUCUAAAGCUAAAUAUUGGCCAGAGACCGAUAGCGCACAAGUAGAGUGAUCGAAAGAUGAAAAGCACUUUGAAAAGAGAGUCAAACAGUACGUGAAAUUGUUGAAAGGGAAGCGCUUGCAACCAGAUCUGUCCUCUGAUGAUCCUCUGUUCUUUUGAACAGUCCAUUCAUCUGAGAUCAGGCCAGCAUCAGUUUGGAAGGUUGGAUAAAGGCCUUGGGAAUGUACCUCCCUCCGGGGAGUCUUAUAGCCCAAGGUGCAAUGCUGCCAUUCCGGACUGAGGACCGCGCUUCGGCUAGGAUGCUGGCAUAAUGGUUGUAAGCGGCCCGUCUUGAAACACGGACCAAGGAGUGGAACAUCUAUGCGAGUGUUUGGGUGUAAAACCCGGACGCGUAAUGAAAGUGAACGGAGGUGAGAACCCGCAAGGGCGCAUCAUCGACCGAUCCAGAUGUCUUCGGAUGGAUUUGAGUACGAGCAUAGCUGUUCCGACCCGAAAGAUGGUGAACUAUGCGUGAAUAGGGUGAAGCCAGAGGAAACUCUGGUGGAGGCUCGCAGCGGUUCUGACGUGCAAAUCGAUCGUCAAAUUUGCGCAUAGGGGCGAAAGACCAAUCGAACCGUCUAGUAGCUGGUUCCUGUCGAAGUUUCCCUCAGGA